CCACCAGCCACGUGGCUAUUGAGUACUUGAAAUGUGGCUAGUGUGACUAAGAAACUGAAUUUAUAAUUUAACUUUAAUUUACCUAAAUUGAAGUAGCCAUAUGUGGCUCCCAGCUACCAUGUUGAGUACCGCAGAUCCAGCAAUGGAUGGUUGUGGGCUCCAAAAAUUCAUGGAGGAAAUAGGGCUUCAGGUGGAGCUUACAAGUAAAGAGGAAAGCAAAGGAUGCCCCAUCUAGGCUAACAGCAUGAGCAAAGGCUGCAAGGAAGGGGGACCUGAAGCGGCAACAGAGCGGAGAGCAAUAAUGACAUAGUGAAAAUGUGCUGCUGGUAUUUACCAUUCAUUAUUUAUUUCCACCAUGUUAAUGGAGAAGAAAAAAGAAAACAAAGAAAAAGAUUGGUUCAGGUUCCCUCCAAGCCACUUUUGAAUGCUGCUAGUAAUCAUAUACAAAGUUUUGGUAGUUUUCAGAGUAAUUAGAACCCCAGAGCAAAUAAACACUAAAUGAGCUCUCA